rnacentral:rRNA from 1 species
AUACGGAGGAUGCGAGCGUUAUCCGGAUUUAUUGGGUUUAAAGGGAGCGUAGGCGGGAGCUUAAGUCAGCGGUUAAAUGGUGCGGCUCAACCGUGCCCUGCCGUUGAAACUGGGUUUCUUGAGAGUGCAAGAGGCGGAUGGAAUUCAUGGUGUAGCGGUGAAGUGCUUAGAUAUCAUGAAGAACUCCGAUUGCGAAGGCAGGACGCUGGGGCACGUCUGACGCUGAUGCUCGAAGGUGCGGGAAUCAAACAGGAUUAGAUGCCCUGGGAGUCCGCACGGUAAACGAUGAUUACCCGCUGUCGGCGGUAGACAGUCGGCGGCCAAGCGAAAGCGAUAAGUAAUCCACCUGGGGAGGACGCCGGCAACGGUGAAAAUCAAAUGAAUUGUCGGGG